rnacentral:ribozyme from 1 species
UGCCCAGCAACUAUUAUCCCUACUUCCUCGUGGUACUGGCCGGGGUACGAGUAACCUUAGGGAAGAUCGGUUAACCAACCCCGGUGGGAGCUUUGGUCGUAUGCUGACAGGGAAGG